AUUUAAAUAUUAAGCUAGUGCAAAAGUGAUCGUGGUUUUUGCCAUUACUUUUGAUGGCAAAAACUGCAAUUGUUUUGCACCAACCUAAUAACAUUUCUGUUGUAUUAAAUA